rnacentral:rRNA from 1 species
UACGGAGGGGGGCUAGCGUUGUUCGGAAUUACUGGGCGUAAAGCGCACGUAGGCGGCUUUGUAAGUUAGAGGUGAAAGCCCGGGGCUCAACUCCGGAAUUGCCUUUAAGACUGCAUCGCUCGAAUUGUGGAGAGGUAAGUGGAAUUCCGAGUGUAGAGGUGAAAUUCGUAGAUAUUCGGAAGAACACCAGUGGCGAAGGCGACUUACUGGACACAUAUUGACGCUGAGGUGCGAAAGCGUGGGGA